AUCUAAUUGACCUGAAUUUCAUGGCAGCAAGAAAGAAGCUAUGUUGAGGUCAUGCGAGGCCAUCACACACCUGCAUGCUCUCCACAGAUCCAGGGUUUUGUUGUGACAGACCGGAUCAUCGCGUUUUCUCUGUCGGUGGAACUUGCAUCGCUGUGUCAUCACCAUGGAUCAGGUUGCUCACAGGUUCGCAACGGAUCCGGAGACUAUACCAGGAACACCUGGCACGACGAAGGAAGAUACCCUACGACCUGGAUGGUACAUUCUAGUACUGGGGAGAGAUGAUUUGAAAAGGUACCGAUCCUACAGCUAGCCGAUAUCCUGUCAGGGUUAUCUUAUCUGUGGCUAAUUAAGCGGAACUGCAUCUGAACAGCACUGACUCAGCGACCGGAUUUUGAAGAAUUCAAAAGUAUGUGGGGAACACUGGAUCGAGCUUUGUUUUCAGAUAAACACAGAAGAAAGGUGGGCUUUGAUCUGUGAAAUCUCAUAUCUUUGGGCUUGUGUUGCCAAAAGACGCUCUGAAGCUCAAUCAGACGACCUGCAUGGGAAUUCCCUCCUGAUAAAGAGCACAUGAAGCCAUGGAGAAAAACACACACACGCUUCUCAUUCAUGCAUUUAUUUAUAUUCUUAUGCACACUUAUUCUUUCUUAUAGAGACACUCAAGCACAUACUGCUGUGGAAUAAUUCCUUUUGAGAGAAACUCUAUCAGAAGCUUAUCGGAUCCGGUUGCUUUGACGCAGCGGGUGAGGGUGGACGCCUACACGAAAAAUUUUUCUUCUUCGUUAUACAACAAAGAUCCUCUUCUCAUUCACAGCUGGAUGCCACACCAAUGACAACUGCUCCUGUUUACCUUGCAUUCAUCCCACAUAUCCUGGUUUGUUGGUUUUUUUGAGCCUCUCAUCAUUGUCUGUAGUGUAUAUACCAACACGGGUAUGACCUUAUCAUUCUGACUUUGUAUUUCCGUUUGCACAAAGUUUCAGAGUUCCUCAAAGAACGAUGACACGAAAGGUUGGGCUUUUUUUCUUUGAGCUCUUUGUUUGGCAUUUUGGUUGUUUUCUUGUUUUGGGAUGGAGGGCCGGAACCAGGUGAAAUAUGACUGAUAAAGGUCAGUCUUUAAGAUUAAAAGUGAAACGAGCAUCUGUUUAGUGACGGGAAAGGCCGAGAAGGAUAUAUUGUGUUAUUUUUUUGUGUGUGUGUGUGUUUUGUAUUUAUCUGCGUAUACGCACGUGUGAUGGCCGUAUAUGCAAUGCUGAGG
ensembl:lncRNA